CCUACGGGUGGCAGCAGUGGGGAAUCUUGCGCAAUGGGCGAAAGCCUGACGCAGCGACGCCGCGUGAGUGAUGAAGGCCUUCGGGUUGUAAAGCUCUGGGGGAGAAGGUCCGGUACCCCUUUAGCAAGCACCGGCUAACUCUGUGCCAGCAGCCGCGGUAAGACAGAGGGUGCAAACGUUGUUCGGAAUUACUGGGCGUAAAGCGCGUGUAGGCUGCUCGGAAAGUCGGAUGUGAAAGCCCUGGGCUCAACCUAGGAAGUGCAUUCGAAACUUCCGAGCUGGAGUACUGGAGAGGAAGGCGGAAUUCUCGGUGUAGAGGUGAAAUUCGUAGAUAUCGAGAGGAACACCGGUGGCGAAGGCGGCCUUCUGGCAUAACUGACGCUGAGACGCGAAAGCGUGGGGAGCAAACAGGAUUAGAUACCCUUGUAGUC
rnacentral:rRNA from 1 species